rnacentral:rRNA from 1 species
AUUGAACGCUGGCGGCAGGCCUAACACAUGCAAGUCGAGCGAGCGGCGGACGGGUGAGUAAUGUAUGGGGACUGCCCGAUCGAGGGGGAUAACUUCUGGAAACGGUAGCUAAUACCGCAUACUAUCGGAUAACCCAUAUGGGAUUAGCUAGUGGGUGAGGUAAUGGCUCACCUAGGCGACGAUCCCUAGCUGGUCUGAGAGGGUGAUCAGCAACACUGGGACUGAGAACCGGCCCAGACUCCUACGGAGGCAGCAGUGGGGAAUAUUGCACAAUGGGCGCAAGCCUGAUACAGCAAUGCGGCGUGGUGGAAGAAGGCCCUAGGGUUGUAAAGUACUUUCAGUCGGGAGGCGUUACCUACAGAAAAAGCACCGGCUAACUCCGUGCCAGCAGCCGCGGUAAUAC